GAACGGGUGAGUAACGCGUGAGGAACCUGCCUCAAAGAGGGGGACAACAGUUGGAAACGACUGCUAAUACCGCAUAAGCCCACGGGUCGGCAUCGACCUGAGGGAAAAGGAGCAAUCCGCUUUGAGAUGGCCUCGCGUCCGAUUAGCUAGUUGGUGAGGUAAUGGCCCACCAAGGCGACGAUCGGUAGCCGGACUGAGAGGUUGAACGGCCACAUUGGGACUGAGACACGGCCCAG
rnacentral:rRNA from 1 species